CAAACAGCAGUGGCUUAUUCGUUAAAGUAAACAGAGCAAAGGCUCGGUGUCAGCCACAGCAGCAGUCAGGUGCAUGCUGACAAAGGAAAGAGAAUGAAAAAACUGUUUUUCCUAACAGAAGAAGGUAUUGGAGCUUGUUUACGUUUUCCAGAGAGGAAAAUAAUCUUUUUAAAGAAAGCAGAUUGAUCUUUUACAUUUUAACACCACCACCAACCCAGCAGAAGGCAGAGUUGUUUGCAGUGAAACCACUGAACUUUAUCCAGCUUAUGGCUCUGUUUGGAAAAGUGCUGAGCAACUCAGAUUCAAAGAGGUCGCCAGAAAACUAGGUGAUGCUCCUGGAAUCGAGCACAAAGUCAUGAUGAGGCAAUGGUUAAGGCAAUGACUCCCAGAUUUACCAUUAAAAAGCUGCAGGCGAGGAACUCUAGACCCGUGAGCAACUCUGACAACAGGAGACAAAACUGCCUGAACAGCAGCACUGCAGUGACUCUUGGCAACAGCAUCCUGCUACCUACUCUUGGUUUGGAGCCACAUCCAAGUGAUACUACUGGGUUAAAUGAAGAUUAGGAGGAGUGAAAAGCAAUGCAGGCCGUGUGCUGGAAAGUUCUGGAAGGAGGUCCCUGAAGGAUGGCUCAGUGUUGACUUCCAGACAAAUUUAAAGAUUACAUCAGUCAAUGGACAUGUUCUUAGCUGCUUUGUAUCCCACGCUCUGAAGUCCAAUCUGGAGUGCAGCCCCUUGUCUCUACCUGUUGGAGUGCAGCACUGCCAGCGCUGGGAUCAUGUUUUCAUCACGUCCAUGAAAACAACAUCACACAGAGGGGAUUUGCUGAGUAACAACAACCCAUUUCUGUCCUCAUAACAAGGACUAUGUCUGCAUGUGGAUAUUUUUUAUUGGUUGCAGCAGUUAUAUUUUUAUUAGCGCUGCGGCUUUUUAACAGUAAUGGCAAGAUUUUAUAACUCUUCUGAGCCAGAUCAGUAACUGCUGCCCCUGAAGAGCAGCCCUUACUUUACCCUCUUCCUUCUCUACUUCCAUAUUCCUCUGCCCCCGCUCAAUUCUCCUUACUUUUCAUGUCUUUUCCCACUGAUACAAAGCCAUACCCCCAGAACUUCAUCCCAGUAAUGUUUUUCCCACCAGCAAAGCCAGUCUGAGAGGUUCUUCCUUUUCUUAUUCCUUUACCUGUUCCCACUCUCUGCUAUGCUUCUCCUACUUCUUUCCCAGAUGUACUUAUACAACAAUUUGUACAGUUAUGUUGCCAACCACAUUGUUGAAAUCAUCCAAAUCCCACUUUAGAAGUAGUAGUGGUUUUUUGUUUUUGUUUUUAAUUCCUCUAUAUCCUUCCGGUAGUUGUGAUCAGAGCACAGCCUAACUCAGUCCCACAGUCCCUCCAGUCAGCACAGCUGAGGGCACUAAACUGCAGUGGUGAGCCAGUUGAGUUCGCAAAGAAGUGAACCAAGCAUGCCAGUAUAGGGUACUAACGAGGUCUUUUGCCUAAAGAAGCUGUGGUGCCCCAUCCCUGGAGGUGCUGAAGGCCAGGUUGGAUCGGGCCCUGGGCAGCUGACCUGGCGGGGGCAGCCCUGCCCACAGUGGAUGGGUUGGAGCUUUUAAUCUUUAAAUUCCUUUCCAUCUGAAGCCAUUCUGUGAUUCUAUGACUCUCUUUCACACGGCUUCGCUAUUAGAGGAGAUGAAUGUCUUAAGUUUGUUUCUAGUAAAGACUGCAGAGAAUGCAAACUGAUAAUUUUCAGCAAGGGAUGAACUAGAAAUUCAAACCACUGUAAGUAUGAGUCUCUACAGUGACAAACAAAAGGCUAAGAGCUUCAAGGUGGCAGCUGUGUUUUCAGCUUUGAUCAUAGAAAUUGAGAGUUGGUGCCAGUUGGGAACCAUAAAGCCUUUCCUGGGAUCAACGAAGAAACAAUUUUGCUGUAGGAACUUGUGGGUCUUAUUUGCUAGACCUGACUGAUCUGCGCUAUGUCUGUUACCUGCAGGUAUAACGAAGAACACUUUCUAGGUUUGAAAUGAAAAAGUGUUCAUCAUCAUAAUUGUGGCUGCUUGGUAUCAGUCCGUGUUAAAUACAGUAUGAUAUUCUUCAAAGUCCAGACUUCAGAAAUCUUCAAACCUACAACCUUUUAAUAGUUCUUUGUCUAGUGUUACGUGCACCCUCAAUCAACAGCACAUAAAGAACUCCAUCAUGCUGUAAUUUAUGUGCUUGUGUAAACUACAACUGCCAGUUUAGAUGUUUGUAUGAGAUACAGAUUUUUGUUUGUAAAGAAUAUAUAAGCUGAGAACUGAAUUGUUUGAACACCAGGCAGAAGGGAACAUUGUCUCCUCAGUGGGUUAAUGACUUGUUUAUACCAAACAUAGAAAGAGUUCUCAGGAAGUUUCUGCUCAUGAGGUGAUGACUCCACCUUGCUACCUGAUAGCAGCAUUAGUAAGUCUCAAGUCAAAUACUGGAGAAAGUCAGUAAUGCUUCAGAAGUGUCAAAAUUAUCACUCUGAUUAAAUUGCAUAUCACAGGUAUCUGUGAUGGGGGUAAAGGCUUGGGUCUGAAUAUUGCUUCAAUGAUAAUCUGAG
ensembl:lncRNA